GAUGGUAUAUGGAGGGGAUAUGGGGUCCUAUAUGGGAUAUGGAGGUCCUGUAUGGGAUAUGGGAUCCUGUAUGGGAUAUGGGGGGGAUGUGGGCGUCCUCUAUGGGAUAUUGAGGGUCUUAUGGGGGAUUUGGGGAUCCUAUAUGCAAUAUGAGGUCCUGUAUGGGAUAUGGAACGGAUAUGGGGUCCUGUAUGGAACAUGGGGGUCCUGAAUGGGAUAUGGGUUCCUAUAUGGGAUAUGGGGGUACUUGGGGUCCUGUAUGGGAUAUUGAGGGUCCUAUGGGGGAUGUGGGGGUCCUGUAUGGGAUGUGGGGUCCUAUAUGGGAUAUGGGGCCAUAUGGGGGUCCUGUUUGGGAUAUGGGGAUCCAGUGGAGGGUAUGGGGUCUUGUAUGGGAUAUGGAGGGGAUAUGGGGUCCUGUAUGGGAUAUGGGUGUCGUGUAUGGGAUAUGGGGUCCUGUGUGGGAUAUGGGGGGGAUAUGGGGGUCCUGGGGGGGAUACGGGGUUCCUAUAUGUGAUAUGGGGUCCUGUGGGGGUCUGGGGGUCCCUUGGGGGGCACACGGGGGUCUUUGGGUCCCACAGAGGACGUCACUUUGUGCCCCCCGCCCCCCUCCCCAAAUGUGUGACAGUGACGGCCAUGAUCCGGCUGCAGGCAGCGCUGGAGGUGGCGGGUGGCGGCCAUGAUGGCGGCCAUGAUGGCGGAGAUGGCGGCCAUGAUGGCGGCCAUGAUGGCGGAGAUGGCGGCCAUGAUGGCGGCCACGGUGGUAGAGAUGGAAGCCAUGAUGGCGGCCAUGAUGGUGACCACGAUGGUGGAGAUCGCAGCCAUGAUGGCGGCCAUGAUGGUGACCAUGUUGGUGGUGAUGGUGGCCAUGAUGGCGGCCAUGAUGGCAGCCAUGUUGGCGGUAGUGGCGGCCAUGAUGGCAGCCAUGUUGGUGGUGAUGGUGGCCAUGAUGACGGCCAUGUUGGUGGUGAUGGCGGCCAUGAUGGCGGCCAUGUUGGUGGUGACGGCGGCCAUGAUGGCGGCGGUGACCCGGCGGUGGCCAUGUCCCUGUGUGAGCAACUGGGUGACCUCUGUGCCAAACAUGGCGACUUCGCCCGUGCUGUGCGCUACUACCAGCAACAGGUGGGGAUAUG
rnacentral:lncRNA from 1 species